UACAGAGGUCUCAAGCGUUGUUCGGAUUCAUUGGGCGUAAAGGGUGCGUAGGUGGCGGGGUUAGUCAGGUGUGAAAUCUCGGGGCUCAACCCCGAAACUGCACUCGAUACUGCCUUGCUAGAGUACUGGAGAGGAGAUUGGAAUUUACGGUGUAGCAGUGAAAUGCGUAGAUAUCGUAAGGAAGACCAGUGGCGAAGGCGAAUCUCUGGACAGUUACUGACACUGAGGCACGAAGGCCAGGGGAGCAAACGGG
rnacentral:rRNA from 1 species